rnacentral:rRNA from 1 species
UACGUAGGGGGCAAGCGUUGUCCGGAAUUAUUGGGCGUAAAGAGCGCGUAGGCGGUCCGGUAAGUCGGUUGUGAAAGUCGGGGGCUCAACCCUCGGAUGCCGAUCGAUACUGUCGGGCUAGAGUCCGGAAGAGGCGAGUGGAAUUCCUGGUGUAGCGGUGAAAUGCGCAGAUAUCAGGAGGAACACCAAUGGCGAAGGCAGCUCGCUGGGACGGUACUGAUGCUGAGGCGCGAGAGCGUGGGGAUCAAACAGG